rnacentral:lncRNA from 1 species
AGGUAAUUUAUAAUUGUCUUGUAUAGACCAAACAUAAAUGUCUUGAAUAAAUUGAUAACUUUGUCUGAUUGCUGCCACUAGUCAAGGAUAUAAAUACAACUGAGUUGAGGUUGAAUCACAUAUGCAAACAAAGAAAUGUCAAUUUCCAUCCAAGGCAGCCAUCUAUAAUAUUUUAACAUCAACUAAUGGGGCCGUUUGGGUAGGCUUAAAAGAAGUGACUUUUUGCUUAAACUAAAGAAGUGAAGCAGNGAAGAGCCANUUGUCGUAGAAGAGAUGUGGAGAAAACGGGUGAAAGAAGCCGGAAAAAGAACCACCGCCGGUUAACAACUAUCGCCUGGGAGCAAGAAGCUUGAGAGAAUGGAGAGUUGAGAGGAAAACAAGAGGAUAUUGGAAAUAUGAAAAGAAACGGGUGGUAAUGAUUUGUAUUUAUAAACGAAUUGUGAAAAGGCGCGCCCUAUUAAUGGCACCCUUUGGAAUGCACGGCCCAGAUUCAGCGCGUAUCUCGAGGCCACGCCAUCCGGCGCCCAAACGACACCACGCGUCCAUCGGACCAAGCAUUUUGAAAUCAGACCGAAACAACUGCUCAGCUCCCACUACAGCCUCACCCUGUCGGUCGGUCAAAGACAACUUAGGCUUCGGCCGCGUUUGAAACCCGACCGAAGCCUGGGGAGAUGUUGGGUUAUAAGCCUUUCGGCCCAAUCCAUUACGGCCCAAAGCAGGUCCAGCCCACCGUUUGAACUUAAACGUUACUAUGGCAACGGUCGAGGCGAGAGAAUCCCGCCUCCUUUACUCAUCAUAACUUCCCUCCCGCAUCGGGCGGGAACGUUACAUAGCAGGGCUCCUCCUCCUCCUAUAAAAAGUGGGUAAAUCAGUGGUAAAAUUCAUUCACAACUUUAUACAUUCUUACAUACUCGCUUGCAGUUCUCUAAACCCUUCCUAGAGCCACUAAUUUAUUCUCACACCGGAGGUGAAUCGGGGGGACAAACCCUCGCAUUCUUCUCUGUUUCAGGUCAUACUUCGGCUUUGGUAUCCGGCAGAACUUUGGCUCUAACAUUGGCGCCGUCUGUGGGAAACUGCAAGUAGAAUUUCUCAUAAAUCAACACCAUGACAAACACCACCGAACAAACCACUGGAAAUACCUCCAACCCAAACCCAGGUUUCGACUUUGGCAAUAGUCCCGAAGGGCUGUUGCCCACCCCCGAAGAACAACAGCAGAUGCUGUUGAAAUGGCGAGAAGAGCAGGCUGCUAAAGCCCAAUCUUCCAAGACCAAAGAGCAAGAAGCUGCCCGACUAGCCAAGAAGAGGGAAGCCGACGAACUCCGGCUGAAGGCCCUCCAGCUACAAAGGGAAGAGAUUGAGCUCCAAGAGAGAGCCCUCCGAGAGGCCUUGGAGGCCGAAGGAGAUCGAGUGCCGGAAGGCGAAGGAAAUAAGAAGAGGAAUCGGGAAGACCAAGACGGGUCUUCGGACUCCGAGUCGCAUUCCCGAGGGCCUCGUCACAGGCAUGUCACACCUUCGGAUACCGAAGGAGAGGGUGAGAGAGAAGCUAGCAUUCACAGCUUCUUAAAAGUGCUUCUACUUCUUUACACAAACGGGUCAAGAAAAGCAGGAGCCAGAAGCAGAAGCUGCUUCCUGCAACCAAACAGGCCCAAUAUCUUCAGUUGUCCUACUCCUAGUGACAACAAAUUAAGGAUAAGGUAUAUUAUCCCCAUUUCCUAGUAACACUACCUAGGGCAUGCAAUAGCAUUUGGGAGGCUCAAGCAUGAUAGGCUGUGAAUAUAAACAUUUCGCAUCAGGUUGUUCGCUAACUAGAUAUUGCAUAUAUUAGUUUUUCAAACAUAACUAGACUUGUGCAAUAAGAGGGCAAAGUUGUGCUAGCAGCUAUUGGAAAAUCAAUUUGAGGGCAAUGCCCUUACCUGUUAAAGAGUUUUUCUGCAAGUGUGCUGAGGACCACAUCUAAGUUGGCUAGGCUAUACAUUAAAGCUUUACAAGUGAGGUGGUUAGCUUUUAUCAACUAUUUGGGUACCCUUUUCUUUAGAAUUGACUAGAAGAACCAACAGAGCAGUAAAUUUUAGGGCCGGUCACUGUUUUUUUUAUAUAGAUGCAAAUAUAGUUAAACUUGUACAACUAUUACUUAUAGGC